rnacentral:rRNA from 1 species
UACAGAGGUCCCGAGCGUUGUUCGGAUUCACUGGGCGUAAAGGGUGCGUAGGUGGCGGGGUAAGUUUGAUGUGAAAUCUCCGGGCUUAACCCGGAAAAGGCAUUGAAUACUAUUCUGCUUGGAGGGUUGGAGGGGGGACUGGAAUUCUCGGGUGUAGCAGUGAAAUGCGUAGAUAUCGAGAGGAACACCAGUGGCGAAGGCGAGUCCCUGGACAA